GGGUAGGUGGCCGAGCGGUCUAAGGCGAUCGCUUCAGGUGCGGUUGUACUCUGUACUCGUGGGUUCGAAUCCCACCCUACUCA
rnacentral:tRNA from 1 species